GGGCAUGCCUGUCCGAGCGUCAUUACACCACUCAAGCUCUGCUUGGUACUGGGGCCCGCCGCGCGGCGGCCCCUAAAUCCAGUGGCGGUGGCUCCGGUUCCUGCACGACGUACCACGUUCCGUGCCAGGGCUGGGUCCGACCGGCCAGAAACCUCUCUCUGGUUGACCUCGGAUCAGGUAGGAAUACCCGCUGAACUUAA
rnacentral:misc_RNA from 1 species